rfam:Salmo salar isolate Sally breed double haploid chromosome ssa08, whole genome shotgun sequence.
UCCCAUGUGGCUCAGUUGGUAGAGCAUGGUGUUUGCAACGCCAGGGUUGUGGGUUCGAUUCCCACGAGGGAC